rnacentral:rRNA from 1 species
UCGUCUCUGGCGUCGUUUCCUGCUGGUGCAAAUCCUGGUCUAUAGGUGGGCGAGCACGUGGCACCGGCGGGGCGGUGUAUUUGGCAGGGACGGAGGGUGAUGAGGGCUCGAGCGCCAGGGGCUGCCGAUGGUACCGCGCCGUUUAGCACGGAAGAUCUUCGAAGGUGGCGGAAGAGUGGAGAGCCGUGAUGGGCGAGCGGAGGGGCCGCGGUGGCGAGGCGGGAGAUGAAGAUGGCUUUCGGGAUAGAGCCCGGUGGCGGCGGCGGAGGGGCGUUGAGGGAGCGGCCCCCGCUGCAGGGCAGCAGCGGCGGAGGCGGAGGCGGGGUCGCGGAAGGAGCGGCCUCUGGCUCCGCCACGGCCCCCGUACCCCCUUCCAGAGCCGGCACGAUAAGCUAUACCUGCCGCACGAGACGUUGUCGCUCCUCGGCAGCGCGGCGCGGCGGCACCUGCAGAAGCGGCUCUACCCGCAGCUGCAGUGGCACCUACUGAAGUAGGGGAAGUGCCCGUGUCCGCUCCGGUUAAAGGAACCUCCACAACGGUCCCACUUUCCUCACUUUCGAAAGUCAUGACUUUCGCGGUUCUUCGCGAAAAAACUCUAUAUGGAACUGUUCAUACGAUUUGGUUUAAGACCUUAACCCAAGGGUCCCCGAGACCUUGAGUAGUACCUCACGUUUUUGCGUCCAGACUUCCAGCGACAACGUAGAUCGCGACUAUCCCAAUUCCAACUGCGUUUAGACCGCCGACGACCAAACGGACAUAGCGAUAAACUACGAUAACAAAGGCGACUACGAAAACUUUUAAAUUUCGGACGAGGUCUGUAUAAGGAACGUCGUAGAUUCUUGAAUCCACAACUGUGCCUACUCACGUAGCACUAUCUUCUACGCGAACGACCUCAAGUUCGACGCUUUCGACGCCUUUAUGCUACAUAACGACACUGCUGAAGAGAUCUACUUCUACGUAAUGUUGUUCGGUCAGGACACAAGUAGUCUUUUCUGUAACCUCUAUAAAGUUAAUUACUGUAGAACAUACCACCAAGAUUACGAAUGGUGUUACUUGCCUGUCUUUUAUGGCUCUUAUAAUCAAGGAAUCCUUUACGAAGAGGACUUUAAGACUUACCUCGUUGAUUACGACUUAGACAACUCUUAUGUUUGAGAAGUUCAAGCUUUCCGGUUCCCAACAACCCAAGAGCAGCCCUAUAUAAUUCUAUACCUUCAGAACCUUAUCGAAAAAGUACAGAAAAGAAAUGUUAGCCUUUAACCUUCCGUUACGUCAAGCGUAGAGGAUUUCCAGACGAAUUAAAAAAGUGCCCACCCUUGUCAAGUUAAAAACGUUGAUUACUUCCUCUUAGUGACAGUAGUUCUCAAGUCGUUUAUUUCUUCAUAAAUCGACUAAAACUUUGACCCCCGAGACGGUGAAUGCAUGGACUCAAGGGUUCUUUCGAGCUGACCGACUUAUGUCGGGGUGAAGUCAAACCUUCUCUAAAUUUUCCUUCUCAUCAGCACAACCUAAAAACCUGUAUGACGACGUAGUUGACGUACGUACAGAACGGUCUGGACCUCAAAUAUCUCUUCUUCAUAUUUCUAUUUGGAAAGUGACAACAACCACACGUAAGACGGUUUAAACUAUUACUUUUUCUAGAACUUCGGUAGGCGUCACGACAGGACGCGAUGUUACAAUGAGUAGGUCAACAUUUACUGCCACUGUACAUGAACACCUCUCUUGACCCCCACUUGAGAACCGGCUGCAAACACCAACAGCGCGGGUUACCUUUCCAAGAUCGUGUUUAUAGUCCGCUUCCGGUGUCUUUCCUGGAACUACUGCAUCAACCACGUCGUGAACUCAAAAUACUACUUUCCUUUAAUGAUGUCUUAUUAAGGGAGGGGAACCGUAACCUCUUCCUGUCCCUACCAGCUAAUUAUUGAAGUGGUGAUUUCAAAGGACCCUUUGAACGUUAACUACAUGUCUUGUUAGCUAAUAAAUAUAGUCUGUCAUUGGUGUUAGCUUAACACCAGUGAUUGGACCUGCCCCUUAAAUAUACGGUUCAACCUUCAAGCCUUCUUCCUGAUGAACUACCGGUUAAACUAUGACGGAGCAAAUUAGCGGGAGUUCCAGAACGUAUGUUAAAGUUUUUCUUAUAGGAUAUACAUCGCCUGUGACUCUUGGUACGUGACGCUCUCCAACUAAAACAAUUGCUCUGACAGUCUUGUGAUCGACCUUUACCCUGGUUUCCAAGGCUGAUGCUUCCUCCUCCGGCUCCUUGAUUAGUCCAAGAUUUAAGUGGUACCCUACAGACGAUACGAGGGAGCCUCCUCUGGCACAUGUAACGCUACCGCCCUGUUGUAGUUUAGACCUUUGUGUUGUGGGAACUACCACAUUGACUUCAAAAGUCACCAUUACCGAGGCUUUUUUUAGACUUACCAAGUUCGGGGUGGUUGUGUAGCAAACGCGUCGGUAGACCCUAAAGUAACCUAGGACUUGACCUCCUCAAUAAACAACGACUAUCACUUUCGUCAAGGUAAGCUCGACAAUUAAACUUCAGUCCCCCCAGUUCUACCGAACGACCCCCUCUAGGUUUAAAAGGUCUAUUAAACAAAUCCAAACCGCUAGUACUACCCUGACCGACCCUACACGAUGAGGUCGUAGGGAACCCACAACAGAUACGAUCGCUAUUAGUUUAUAUACAACGUCUAAGGAUAUUAGUGUUCUAUUUUUUCAAUCUAGGGCAGUGUUUUUUUCAAUGUUGCUAACGACCAUGACCUGCACGUCCUAUGUACCUACCACUACGGAACAGUCGAGUUGAUAGACUCGGUCGUCCUGAACAACUUCAACCUCUUCCUUCUAAAGAACAUCGUCUAUGUUUGUUGUCACGUUAGUCUAGAUAUCAAGACUUACUCUCUCCACGACUCCACGCGUGUGAUCUAAACUGACCUCACGUCGGCGGUAGUGGUUUUGGCUUCCGCAACUCUGCGGAUUCUGCUGCCAAUAGUCGUCUGUGUUUACAAUAAUUACAACUACCACCAAGGAGUUACCUUCCUAUACACAGAGAACGUUAGAGUCAAGGAAUACCAAUGGUAAAGAGCUUCCUUCGAGCGUCGUUUAAACUACACCUUUGUCUUGGUCGAUUACGUUAACUCUAGCUCGGUCACUUACCUAGAGAUUUGAGUCUACCCGUCCGCAGUGAGUUCAAGUUUUCUUGUAGUAGUAGUAGUAGUUGUCCUUCCUAGUUGACGUUCCAAAUGAUGACGUUUCUUCUACUUCAAACAGAAAUGGUUAGACACCGAAAACUACAGUUUAAGGUUCUCCCCCAUGGGUCAGGACGUGGUUAAUGAGAUCGGAUAUGACACCACGGCUCUCUAUUAAGUCCCUCAAGCGUCAAUUACCGACGACCAUUCUUGAACAUUCCAUAUCAAUCUAGGUCCCACCAACGCAUGGCAUGUAAGAACAGGACUUACACUAAAACGGAGAUCAGAUACAACACACCGACUGUACGUCGGAGUGGGAACGAGGUGAGUAUAGGGGCACCGACCACCCUGUAGUUUGCACUAAUCAAUAUAUUAUAACGGACAGGUAACUAACAAACUUGUGGGUAUACUUCAGGUAAACAGUAGGUUGCUCUUAGUAGAAAUAGGUUUAGUGACUACUUAAACGAAACGUGACUUGUUUGGCUCAAGUCGUACGUAACAUCACCGCACGUACACAAAACUUUCCUCCUAUGUACACACUAGGAGUGGGAAAAAGAAACGUGUUUUCGAGAACCCCUAGCCUUUAAAAAUAAAGUAAAUUGACUAAAUAAUAAUCAGAACGUGUACCCGUAGAUCCCCGUUAGUAAACUAAUCAAUAGGUUAAUCCCUCAACUCUGCACAGAGUAGUUCUUAGAGUUCAAACCUAUAGUUGUAUCUCUUUCCCACAACUCUUCAGGUUAUUUUAUUUAUUUACUUCUGUGUGUUUGCCACAACUACAGGUACUUAUGUUUUAAAUCUGUACAGUUGGAUCGUAAGUCAAACAUGACUAGGUCUGCAAUACAUGGAGGACAGUCAAAACAAACAAUCCUCGCUGUACUUCUUGUUAUAGUCGACAGUACCGGGGAAGGACAGGUUGUAUAUUCAUACAAUCGACUAUCGAGGAAGUUAAACACUAUAACGAAUAGUACCGGCCAUAGCGAAGUAUUAGUUAUGUAGAACGUGGUACUGGUAAUAAGAGGACACUUCUAUAGUUAUCCUAAUCUAACGUUCGUCGUGACCAAGUUCUCGCACCCUUCCUCCCUAAGGUAGUUCAAAAAACAAUUUAACACUAGGUUUAAUAUUAUACAACCUGAUCUGCAUCAUGUUGGCCACACCCGAAAACACAACUGCAGCUGCGCAUGCUCAUGUUGAGCAAAUGAACAGGAGGUUCCUGAGAGUACAUAACGGGAGUAUAUAUGAGGUACAUCAGCGUGUAGUCUGCCAGACAGCAGAGCACGAACAUUAUGAGGAGGUAGUAUCACUAACGCGGAAGCACGCAGGCACCAAAAGAGGG